rnacentral:rRNA from 1 species
AUACGGAGGGUGCAAGCGUUACUCGGAAUCACUGGGCGUAAAGCGCGCGCAGGCGGGCUGAUAAGUUGGAUGUGAAAGCCUACGGCUCAACCGUAGAACUGCAUCCAAAACUGUCAGUCUAGAGUCUGGGAGGGGAAGAUGGAAUUAGUUGUGUAGGGGUAAAAUCCGUAGAGAUAACUAGGAAUACCAAAAGCGAAGGCGAUCUUCUGGAACAGUACUGACGCUGAGGCGCGAAAGCAUGGGGAGCAAACAGGAUUAGAAACCCUGGUAGUCC